GUCCUUUUAGAUUACCUGCUUCACUAAAUUGCUUAAAACAAAUUUCACAAUUGUGAGGUUUUUCUCCCGUGUGCGUUCUCAAAUGCUGUUUUAAAUUUGAUAAUACAAAAAAUUCUUUAACACAAAUCUCUCACUUGUAAGGUUUUUCUUUCGUGUGCGUUCUCAAAUGUGUUUUUAAAGUACCUGCUUCACUAAAUUGCUUAAAACAAAUUUCACACUUGUGAGGUUUUUCUCCAGUGUGUGUUCUUAAGUGUUUUUUGAAAUCACUAGCAGUACGAGACUGUUUCGAAUAAAUUUCACACUUGUGAGCUUUUUCUCCUGUGUGUGUUAUCAAAUGAGUUUUUAAAGUACUUAUUUGGGAAAACCCCUUAACACAAAUUUCGCACUUGUAAGGUUUUUCUUUCGUGUGCGUUCUCAAAUGUAUUUUUAAAGUACCUGCUUCACUAAAUUGCUUAAAACAAAUUUCACACUUAUGAGGUUUUUCUCCUGUGUGCGUUCUCAAAUGAUUUUUUAAAUGCCCUAUUGCAGAAAAUUCCUUAAAACAUAUUUCACACUUGUGAGGCUUUUCUCUCGUGUGCGUUCUCAAAUGUGUUUUUAAAGA
rnacentral:lncRNA from 1 species